GAACUCUGUAAAAUAAAAUAGGAUAAUUUAUUAUAUUAUUUUAUUAAAAAUUAUAUUAUCUUGGUUUAAUUAGUCGAGAUUUAAUUGUCGUUUAAUGGGGCAUGAAUAAUUUUUAAUUAAUGAGAUGAAAUUCAAAUAACUGACCUUAAAUUAUUGUUGUUAUUAUUAUUAGUAGUACCAGAAGUAAUAUUAUUAUAUUUUUUUUCUGGAGCGUUAGUUUAACUAAGCACUAAUCGAUAAAUUUAAAUUAAAAGUGUUAUUUAAACACGGCAAAGUAAAGCGCUGAGUUUAAUUGUUAGCGACUAUUGUGGAGGAAAUUAUAAAAACAAAAGAUCCGGUGAGACCUUGAUUGUGUACAGUUAGGGGUACAGUGUGGCUGGUAAAAGUUUCGCAAUGCAGAAAUACCAAUGGUUAAUAUAAUUGAAGAAGUUAAACACUUAACUGGUGGUGUAGGAAAAUAAAUACCGGGUACAUUACUCCACUUAGUAGUUUAAAGGAAAAAGAUUUAAGUGGAGCUAUGAAUUUAAUGACGGUUUUAAGAAAUAUGCCAUUUCAAGUUAUUGAUUUAUCGAUUGGAUAUUAUAUGAAAUUUUUUAUCCAACGUUGAUGAAUAGUGUCCUAGAGCCGCGGAAUUCGAUUUCUUAACCACUCAAUCUUCCGGUGAUUUAC